rnacentral:tRNA from 1 species
GGUAGCGUGGCCGAGCGGUCUAAGGCACUGGAUUUAGGCUCCAGUCUCUUUGGAGGCGUGGGUUCAAAUCCCACCGCUGGCA